CAUCAAAAGAGUGGCAGCACUUUCUAUUAACGUCUUCAAGAAAACAGCCACAAGAUGUGCAGAGCUGAUCUCACAUGGCAGGGUAGCACCACAUCACAGUUUCACCCAUUGUGUGAGAUGUGAAGUAGUUUGGAUGAGGAUCAUCAAGAAGCAAGACCAGAGGCCAAGAAAUCAGACAGUGCCAUGCUCAGUUUUCUCCUGAACUGAACUGAACAACUGGAAUAAACAAAGCAGACCUCUCGCCACUGAAUCAUCUACAAUCAAGAUACAGAGUCUCGCACUGACUGACUGUGGCUGCAGCAGGACUCUUCAUACCUCAGAGUGUCCAGUCUCCAGCCUGGAUCCUCCAGUAGAGCAGACAGUUGCUUGACUCCUGAGUCUCUUGGAUGAUUGUAGAUCAGGUCCAGCUCUCUCAGAUGGGAGGGGUUGGAGUCCAGAGCUGAGGCCAGAGAAGCACAGCCUUCUUCUGUGAUCAGACAGCCUGACAGCCUGCAGACACACAAACAACACACAUCUGACAGCAGUAAAUGUUUAUUAUCUCACUGAAUGAUAAGUCACAGGGCAGUAAGACUGUUUUAUCUUGGUUGUGCUUUUUAUUUGUUUUCAUAUUUUAUUGGGCUUUAUAUUGCAUGCUUUUACUUGUGUUGUGCUUUUAAUUAUUUAUUGUGUUGAAGUUUUAGUGUAUGUGUGUGGUUUUAAUUUACUACUGCCUGUGAACACACCAUGUUAUUGUUGAUCAGCUGCACCUGGGAGGUUCUGCCUUUUCCCCUAUUUAACAGCCACUAACUGAGAGCCAGAAGAGAGAGAGGGAAGAGGGACACAUGAGAGAGACGCCAAAAAAUGCCAGGACGGUGCAAAGACCCGCCAACUUGUUGGCAGGUCUGGUUGACCGAAGUAAGAGGCCUGGUAGAUGGACUAAGGUCGGAAGACGCUGAGUGGACUGGAGAAAGGCACUGACGUCAAACGCGAUCAAGCACACCAGCAAGGCGCUGGGUCUUCACUGGGUCUUCACGAGGAGACCAGACCUGGUCUGAGGGCUCUAAGUGGGCUGGUGAUGGCAAGACAGCACGAGCACCGGGCGCACAUAAGGAAACCCAGAGCAUUACUGCUUGACAUACUCGCAGCAGCAGAGCAUAGUGCUCUGCCUGGUGGGCACAUAUUCCCUAUGGGUCAUAGUAACGCUCUGGUGUGUGUUUGAGCUGGUUAAGCUGUAGUCUGUGAGGUGUGUGGACCCCCCGUAUUGGCCGUGUGUUUGUAUUUCCAGGUGACUUCCGGGAUGCUGUUGGGGAGAAGCAGCUGAAGCACCUGUAGCACCUGAUGAGAGACGGCAGAGCUCCACCACCACCUCUGAGCCGUCCCUGUAUCUGGUCUGGCUGGCACAAAAACACUUUUCUUUUAACCCAAAUGGACUAUUUUUAACAUGUGAAGCCUCCGUUUUAGAAUCUGGUGUGCUUUCCCCCAAUAUUUCACCAGAACCUGUAUCCCCCUUAAGAUAACCUUUUUUUUUUUUUCAUCACAUAAUUGCCACUUCUCAUUCCCCCGCCCCUUUACAGAUGGACUUUCCUUCUUCUCCAUAUUAUAUAUUUGACACUGUUUUCCUAACCCAAGUAAUCAGUAAGAGUGAUGUGACUGUAUGAGGCUCAACAGCAGCCUCAGUUCAAAGGUAAGAGGAGCUCUGGGCAGGUUUUGCUGCUGAAGUGCUUCAGGGGCAGGACAGCCGUUAUCACUCUCAUGGAGGUGCAGAGGGGAGGUGGGGCGCUCCUGGAGUGAUCUGGUCCCCCUUUCAGAGGGAUGGGCACUGAAUCAGAGACUGGGAACAGUGGCUAGAAUAUCCUCCUAACAGUUAACAACCUGUGACCUCACUGUCUUUUUCAGAAAGAUGGGAAGUCAUGUAACUUAUAUCUGUCGCUUGGAGGAGGUCGAGGAACUGACUUAAUUCCUGAUGACCUAGGGUCAGUUGAGAAUUGUUCUGAGUGUAGAGGGAGCUAAACCUCCAUCAAGGAGGAGUGUGACUCAGAGUAAGCAGAAUCACAUUGGCUGAACAACUGUGGUGGGGAAAGACAUUCAGACCUGAGCCUUAAAACUCCUCUGUGUGUGAGCAAAGAUCUAACUGAUUGCCAAGAAAUCAAGAUGGGUGUCCCACCGCAAGAUAAAGUAUCAAAUUAUAUGCAGCAAAGUCUGUGGGAUCAAUGUGACUGUGAGUGAAUGAAAAAGGUAAAAAUGAUCAUUUUAUCUUUGCCUUCUGUGUAGUAUACAUUAAAGAAACAUUUUAAAUGAAAAGA